AACGAACGCUGGCGGCAGGCUUAACACAUGCAAGUCGAACGAGAUCUUCGGAUCUAGUGGCAGACGGAUGAGGAACACGUGGGAACAUCCCUUUCAGUUCGGAAUAACGUUGGGAAACUAACGCUAAUACCGGAUACGUCCUUCGGGAGAAAGAUUUAUCGCUGAAAGAUUGGCCCGCGUCUGAUUAGCUAGUUGGUGAGGUAAUGGCUCACCAAGGCUACGAUCAGUAGCUGAUCUGAGAGGAUGAUCAGCCACAUUGGGACUGAGACACGGCCCAAACUCCUACGGGAGGCAGCAGUGGGGGAUAUUGGACAAUGGGCGCAAGCCUGAUCCAGCCAUGCCGCGUGAGUGAUGACGGCCUUCGGGUUGUAAAGCUCUUUUGUCCGGGAAGAUAAUGACUGUACCGGAAGAAUAAGCCCCGGCAAACUUCGUGCCAGCCGCCGCCGUAC
rnacentral:rRNA from 1 species